rnacentral:misc_RNA from 1 species
GCCGCUGCUCCGUGCCCGUCCACCGAACGGUCGGCAGGCGAUCCGCGUCGGUCAAGCGAGGUGGUAUGGUUCCCUAGAGGCCGGUUCUUGUGCUGCCUACCCCUUCGGGGGAAGCGGGCCGGUUGAUGUAAGCCUCCAUCCGGCGCCCUCCAACGGGCGCAGGAGGACAACGUAGCACCCCCCGCGUUCCACCGAGCCCUAGCCGGUCGCGUGGCGCGCGGGGACGUGCGAUGCUCUCGGACCCAGCGAACGCCGUGGGCGAGGACUCGCGUCCCAGUCCCGAUAGAAGCUCCCAUAUAAUGCAUGACGGCCGCUCCCGUCCCCCGACCGCCCCGGCGGCGCGGGGGCGAGGCGCGGCGUCGCGGAGGAAUGC